CGGAGCGCAGGUCGCCCGCAGUGCUGCGCCUCCGUGGGAGUGCUUUACGGCUCAGUCACGCGUGGAGACUGGGUCCGCGGCGUGAGACCUGCCAGCAUCGGGCAGUUACGUUACUUAUAUGCAGUAACCAGAUGUGAACUGAACUCAAUUUGGGAGACAGAGAAAUGUGAGAAGUGUUUUUGCAUACCAAGUGGAAUUCAAUGCUGCAACAACUUCCUGAGUAGCUGAGACUACAGGAUGAACCAACAGACCUGCCUCAUUUUUGUUUCUGAAAUUUGGUCAGUAUCAUUACUCUUAAAGACUUAUAUUCAAAUAAAUAUCUAAAUGUUUAUUAAUGCUGUUCUAGAAGUUGUCCUGGUGGUCACCCUAGCCUUGAUCUUGGAG